rnacentral:sRNA from 1 species
UGCAUUCGUGUAGCCAACGUUGAUCCUCGCCGAACAGUAAUAUUCUUAUUUAUUUAAUUAUUUCUUAUGAUAAAACUAUUGUAUCAUCAUUACAAUAAGCAAACUGUUUUUGUAAAUAGGUAUUUUUGGAUGAUAAUAUCCACAAUAUUACCGCGGGUAAAUCUGUCGGGCUUCGCACAAUCCUGGUAAAUUUUUGUUACAUUUCACAUUUAUUAAUUCCCUAUUUUGCGACAUUUGUAUGUGUUAGUUUCAAGUUUUAAAAAUUUGGUUACAAAAAGGUGGGAAGAGCAGAAAAGACGAAAGAUGCGGAUUAUGCGGUGGAGACGGUUACUGAGAUAGCUACGGCGGUGCCAGAGAUUUGGGCUACGGCGACGGCGACAGGCGGAUUUGACGUUGGUGGUGAGAGGAUCAGACGGAGCAAGAGUGAGCUGGAGGGUAUGGCUUCAAUAGCAGCCGUCGGUGCGUGACGUGAUCGAGUGGGCGGAUCGUGGCCGUUGGAUAAUUUUAACGUCUAGUGGUUGGGAUUGUACAGGUGGCGUUAAAAUGUUGAUAAUGCAUAUGUGAAUAUAAAUAAUAGUGGUGGUGGACAAUAUUCAUCCCAUGUGGACACCAAAUGUGAAUACGCAAUCAGAUAAUAUUAUGUAUGAUGAUUAUGAUUUCAAUAUGUGUACAUUUUUAUUCAACUGAUUUUUUUAAAGUUUGAUUGGGAUUUUAUAAUUAGUCUGUUCGUUUCGUCGCCGCGGGUACCUGCGGCUGCGGUAGACGCAACUAGUUGUGUUUGUUUGGUUGCCGCAACUACUUGCGGCAAAACGCAGCGUCAAACGCAGUUUUCUGCGGUUAAAAAUUUUAGACGCCAUUUAAAUUUAGCGUCAAAGAUGAAAGAGUUGCGUUAUAUAUCCUAAAUGACAAAAAUAUCCUUAUUAUUUUUGAAAAUUCACAAACAAACCAAGCGAUUCUCUUCUUCAACAAACAAACCCUAAAUCCCAAUUCUCUUCUUCGUUUCUUCUGUCAAGAUCACCAAACAUGCGGCAGCGUCGGUGGCAACGAUGGCGGCAUCGAAACGAACACAAAACCUGCGGUUGCGACAGCGGCUGCGGCAACGUUGGCGGCGACGAAACGAACAACAACCUGCGGCAGUGUUACCGUUGCCGCUGCCGCAACCGCAGCCGCUGCCGCCUGCGGCCACUAAACGAACAGACUAAAUAUAGUUUUUUAUUAGAGAUAUGCUGUUUAUAAUUUUAUCUCCAACCACCAUGAUACAUAUUACAGUUAAAUCUCUAUAAAUUAAUAAAUUCUUUCACUCCCGAAUUGGGACCAUUAUAAAAAAUAAUAUAAAUCGAUAAAUUAAUAAGAUAAUAACUUUUUGAAAAGUCCUAUGUAAAUAUAUGGUCUCAUCAAUAUCAUAAAUUAAUAAUUUUAUAAAUAUAUCAAUUAUAUAUACAUUAUAUGUAAGAAAUUGUUUUGAAAUAUAAUUCUAAUAUUUUUUUGCUUAAAACUUGUAUUUAUUCUUAUUUAAAAUUUAGUUAUAGUAUUUUACUUUAUCAAAAACUUUUGAUGUUGUUUUCUAAACAUGAUAUUAUUAUUUACUUGUAAUUGAUUUUUGAAAGAUAUU